rnacentral:rRNA from 1 species
CGAGCCAUAUAAGUCUUUAGUAAAGCUCAAUGGGGACUUUCGUCUUACAAUAUGGACGUAGCAUCUUCACUACGAAUUCAAUUUCAUGGAGAGUCCUCUUAAGACAGGGGGGCCCUCGUGAUGCCAUUCAUACCGGCCAACAAUUAAUGGCUAUUGAUUACGCUACAUUAUCUCACUGACCGUGAUAAUGUAGCGUAAUCAAUAGCCAAUUAAUUGUUGGCCGGUAUGAAUGGCAUCACGAGGGCCCCCCUGUCUUAAGAGGACUCUCCAUGAAAUUGAAUUCGUAGUGAAGAUGCUACGUCCAUAUUGUAAGACGAAAAGUCCCCAUUGAGCUUUACUAAAGACUUAUAUGGCUCGAAUAACUUAAAUAAAAAGUUUAGAUAAUGUGGGAUCUGUUUUUGGUUAAUGAGACACCACUCUUUUAUUUUAAGAGAACUAACCUUAUAGGGAGAAUGUAAGUUAGAUAGUUUGGUUGGGGCGACCACCUUUUAAAAGGUAACGAAGGUGAGCUUAAGGUCCGUAGUUAAUAGCUAGAGGCCUGACUGCAAGGGGGACAUCCCGAGCAGACACAUCCUUAAGGAUGUGGGUUAUAGUGACCCGUCAUCUUAGAGUGGAAUAGUUGACGAUCAACGAAUAAAAGCUACCAUGGGG